rnacentral:lncRNA from 1 species
CACAAAUGACAGAAAUUGAUAUGAGAAAGUGCCCAGUAUAAUGUAAAAUGUACAAUUCAUCUCAACCAGAAUUACGAUGCACCAAAUCUUGCUAUGCACAUUGCCUACAGUUACAGUUUCUAAACAAUAUACAAAGUUUUUUUUGAGCAAAAUGCUCAUUCUAUCAUUUGAACAAUCAAAAAAAAAAAUCAUUUGAACAAUCAACCAUGAAAACAGUUGGUUGGUUGAUUCAUCAGCCCUACACCAAAACUAGUAUGUAUGUUGUAAAUUGACUCUUCUCUGUGCAUCGCGCUUGUAGUAGGGUGUUUCAUCACCCUACUUCCACGACUAGAGAUUGUUGCACAUUGUACCCAGAGGAACUACUUCAACGACUGGAGUACUGACCAUCAAUACUUGGUGUGGCGGGAACAGAUGUUGAGGACGUGUUUGGUGGACGUUUCGACAUGGCCCAGAGCCCCAGAUUGCCAUAAAUACAGACGAGAUGUAACAAAAAGCAAUCCAAAUUAAACCAAAUUUUUCUAGAGAUAGCCCACUUUUUCGAGGCUUUGUAAGAGACAUUAGUUCCACCCUUUGACCUGUUGCAGAAAACCAAAAAGAUACAUUAUUGCAGCAGUUGGUUUUUUUGUAUACUGCUGAAUUUCUCACCAGAUCAUGGGAAAACUCCGGCUCAAACCCAUGGAAGGGAAAGAGAACAUCAUUGGCUUAUAAGAUUACGAAAGCAUAAUAUGGUGACAAACAAGUCUAAAUCAAAUUCUUGAGAAUCCACUCAUAUUCUCAUAAGCUGUUCCACUUGAGAAUGAUGUGAAAACAGAAAAUGGCAUAUUGGUACUGUGAUACACAUCAAUCCACAUUUACACGUUGGAGUAAAAGGAUUAUUAGUUUUGAAAGCGAAUUACCUGUGGCUGGGAGUACGGAGAGACGAUUUUGUCAUUAAAUCUCUUUGCUUUUAAGGGUUUGGCCUGAAAUAACAAAGAGAAACAUACAUCAUAUAGGACAGUCAUCACUGAAACUUCUAGCUGGAAUACAGCAUGUCCACCAACCCCAAAUGUUGAAAAUCAAUGCCUUCAUAGGCGGUGAAGAAGACUCCAGAAUAUACAAGUAAUAAGAGCAUUCCCAAUAGUAAAAGGGUUUUAAGGGUGCCACAUAGGAGAGAGAGAAAAUGUUUUAGCAUAAAAUUUAUGUUAAAAGUGAUUAGCACUUUUAGAGUUACCAAUGGUUGGUUUUAAAACAAGGGUUAAAAUUUAAGGUUUCACUUUUUCCCAAAAAUAUAGUGUACAUUGUGAUGAAAUCUAAUUUUUAAUUAAUAAAAUAGUCCUACGUGGCACUUUUAACUCCUUGGCAAAUUUGCCAAGGAGAUAAAAGUGUUUUGCUUGAAAAGUGUGUUAAAACCCACUAUUGGCAAGAGUUUUUUACUAAAAGUUGCUAAAAGUGAUUUAAAACCUACCAUUGGGAAUGCUCUUAGAGAUUAACUCUAGAGAUUUUUAAUUAAGUAGGUGAUUAGAAUGUCCUAGAAUUGUGGAGGAGAUAUUUUUUAAUGUCGGUUAGAGAAAUCUGGAGACUUUGAGAUGUAAUUUAAGUCGGUUAUAACAUAGUAUAAAUAGGUAUGUAGAUGUAUUGGUUAGGACAUCAGAGAAGAAGUUGAGUCCUGAUCAAAUACUAAAGUGUUAGUAUAGUUGUUGUCCAAGAAGUGUUUGUCUAAACCCUUAAGUGAGUAAAGUGUGUUUGUAUAAAACUCUGAUCUUUUCUGAAAUCAAGCCCAUCUAUUUCUCUCAAGUUUACACUCCUAAAUUCCUACAAGUGGCAUCAGAGCCAGGUUCGGGUUAGUCACGCAUUGGUGGUGAUAACCAAGUGUUGGGUAUAGUUUUCCCAAGUCAAUCAUUGACAUUUGAAGGUUACGAUCGAGUGUGCUAUUAGGGAGCACAAAGAGGGUCCUUUGUUGGCUAGUUAGUGUUAUUGGAGUGUCGUCGUGCUGCCGGUGUUAAUAAUCGACAAAUUGGUUAACAUGGCGGAAUUGAUGGGUACGUUGGCUGGAAUUGAGAAGUUAAACAACAACAACUAUAGUUAUUGGAAGUCUUGCAUGGAGUCAUAUCUCCAAGGGCAAGAUUUGUGGGAAAUUGUUGUAGGAAGUGAUGUCUCUCAACCUGAGGAAACAACCACAAAUAUGAAUGACGUGAAGAAAUGGAAGAUUCGCGCUGGGAAAGCCUUAUUUGUAAUUAAAGCUUCUAUUCAAAAAGAUUUGAUAGAGCACAUUCGAGAUGCAAAGACUCCGAAGCAGGAAUGGGAUGCUUUUGCAGCAUUAUUCUCGCGUGCUAAUGAUGCUCGACUGCAGCUAUUGGAGAAUGAGAUUGGCACCGUUAAACAAGGUACUCUAUCUAUCUCAGAGUAUUUUAUGAAAGUUAAAAAUUUAUGCACGGAGAUAUCCUAGUUUGAUAAAGAGUCCACAAUUAGUGAAGCUCGGAUGAGGAGAAUCAUUAUUCGUGGACUCCGACCCGAGUUCAAUGGGUUCAUUGCUGCAAUUAGUGGAUGGCCCACACAACCCACGUUAUUGCAAUUGGAAAAUCUCCUCAUAAAUCAGGAGUCACUCGCCAAGCAAAUUAGUGGACUCUCUGUAAAAGAAGAUGAUGAGGCUUUAUUUUCCAUGAAAGGGAAGAAAAAUUCACCUUCCCAUUGGAAGCAGAAAAAUUAUAAAACUAGCGGGCCCAAGUGGGAGUCUUCUAGUAGCUUCCAGAAAGGGGAAGAAGCAACUAAAGAUCGCAAAGUCAAAGUCUGCUAUAAUUGCGGCAAGCCUGGCCAUUUCGCUCGGUUUUGCAGGACAAAGGUAGCAGAGGGGAAUGUUGCUCAGAUAGAUUCCCAUGACAAUAGAAGGAUACAGGAAGAAAGUGAAGAAGAAGAAUGGGAUGUUCAAGCUUCAUAUGCAGCCGUUGAAAGUGAAGAUGGAAACAUGGACGUCGCUUUCACUACGACGAUUGAAGAGAUGGAGCAGAAUGAGGUCGAUAAAUGUUUAUUGACAAAGUCAGGCAAAGAAAGGAUCAACUAUGAAACAGAUUGGAUACUUGAUUCUGGUUGUUCUCACAUCUAACUGGUAAUAUAAAGAAGUUUAUGAAGCUGGAAAAAUAUUUUGGCAAUGAUGCUGUCAUCACCGCUGAUAAUACAAUGCACCCGGUGGAGCAUGUCGGUAAUUUGAGGAUUUCCACAGUUGAAGGAAAUACUCAUGUCCUGGAGAAUGUAUAUCAUGUUCCAGGAAUGAAAAAGAAUUUAGUAUCUGUUCCGCAGAUCACUGAUUUGGGGCAUUAUGUCUUGUUUGGCCCAAACAGUGUUAAAGUGCUGGCAAAUGCAGAGGUUCGUGGUGACAUUCUAAUGGAAGGAAAGAAAGUGAAGAAGUUGUAUGUGUUAUCCGCUGGUACAGCAUAUGUUGACAAAACACGUCAACAUGAGACAGUUGACCUUUGGCACGCUCGGCUGGCACAUGUAAAUUAUUCACGAUUGAAGGCGAUGAUGAAUGAAGAAUCAGUACGAGGAUUACCAAAUUUGGAGAUGCAUGAGGGCGUCGUUUGUGCUGGUUGCCAAUAUGGCAAAGCUCAUAGGCAACCAUUUGGCGAAUCUAAGGUACGAUCUUCUAGACCAUUACAACUUAUUAAUUCAGAUGUGUUCGGAAGAGUUCGUACUCCUUCUUGUUCGGGAAGACGCUAUAUGCUCACAUUUAUCGAUGAUUUUUCUCGAUAUGUGUGGGUAUAUUUUCUGGUAGAAAAGUCGGAAGUAUACCAGAAGUUUCUUGAGUUCAAAUGCUUGGUGGAAAAUGAACACAAUCAAAAGAUUACAUGUUUAAGGACCGACAAUGGAGGGGAGUAUACAUCAGAUGAUUUUGAGAAUUAUCUGAUAAAGCAUGGGGUUCGUCACCAGUUUACAUGUUCAUACACGCCUCAGCAAAAUGGUGUCGCAGAAAGGAAGAACAGACAUUUGGGCGAGACUUGCAGGAGCAUGAUGCAUGCAAAGAAUGUCCCGCCACGUUAUUGGGCAGAAUGUAUGGCAACAACAGCACAUGUCAUUAAUCGACUGCCGCAAGCAAGUCUUGGUUCUCACUCGCCUUACCAAGUUUUGUACAUGGAGAAGCCAACUGUGUCUCACUUCAAAGUGUUUGGUUGCGUCUGCUACAUGUUCGUGCCUGAGCAACUAAGGACAAAGUUGGAGAAAAAGGCGAUCAGAUGCAUCUUUAUUGGCUAUGACCAAAAGAAGAAAGGUUGGAAAUGCAUUGAUCCAACUACAGAUAAAGUUUAUGUAUCUCGCGACGUUGUGUUCGAUGAAGCAUCAUCAUGGUGGUCACCUGACAACAAGAUAAUACCAGAGAUGGAGGCGCCAGAUAACCCCGCACCUACAGAUUUUGAGUUCGAAGAAGAUCAUGGAUCAGACUCACCUCGGGAUGGUUCACAAAGUCCUCCAAGUCCUUGGCGAACAGGUGUUCGAGGACCACCAAGUCCACAAUUACGAGGAGAGAGAAAUACCGACAGGAGAGAUGCAAGCACUCCACAAGAAGCACAACUUCCUAGUGACAAUAAUCAAUUUGAGCUAAGGAGAUCUUCAAGAAUAAAGAAGCCAAAUCCAAAGUAUAUGGAUGCUAGCUAUGCUGAUGUCAUCCCACUUUCAGAGAGUUAUGCAUCUGAAAUUCAAGAGGAGCCUGGAUCAUAUCAAGAAGCUCAAGGGAUUCUUGAGUGGGAGAAUGCGAUGAAGGAGGAAAUUACGGCCUUGAAGAAAAAUAAAACUUGGGAGCUUGUUCCACCACCUGAAGGAGUUAAACCCAUAUCCUGCAAAUGGGUAUACAAGAUAAAACGCAGGAGUGAUGGAUCUGUUGAAAGAUUCAAGGCAAGGUUGGUAGCAAGGGGGUUUUCACAAGAGUAUGGAAUUGACUAUGAUGAAACCUUCUCUCCAGUUGCGAAGAUGACAACGGUCAGAGUGCUCAUGUCGUUGGCAGCAAGCAAGUCAUGGCAACUUUGGCAGAUGGAUGUUAAGAAUGCCUUUCUAUAUGGAAACGUGGAUCGAGAAAUCUACAUGGAACAACCUGCAGGAUUCAUAAGGCAAAGGAAUCCUGGUUAUGUGUGCAAAUUGAAGAAGGCUCUCUAUGGCUUAAAACAAGCACCGAGGGCCUGGUAUGGAAAGAUUGCAGAGUUCCUAGUAUUUUGCGGUUAUCAGGUAUCUGUUGGUGACUCUAGCCUCUUUGUUAAGAAGGUGAAAGGCAAAGUUGCGAUCAUUCUACUAUAUGUAGAUGAUCUCAUUAUUAUUGGAGAUGCCUUGGAUGAAGUUGAAGAAACUCGUAAGAAUCUCUCCGUAAGAUUUGAAAUGAAAGAUCUUGGAGAAUUGAAGCAUUUCCUUGGGUUGGAAAUUGAAAGAAGCUCGAGGGGAUUGUUCCUAUGCCAAAAGAGAUAUACUGAGGAUCUAUUGAAAAAAUUCGGUAUGUCGAAUUGCAAGCCUAUUGCAACACCUAUAGAAGUCAAUCAGAAGUUACAGAAAGAAGUUGGAGAUGCACGUCUAUAUCGGAAGCUGGUUGGGUGCCUUAUCUAUCUUACGAUCACUCGGCCAGACAUCGCUUAUGCAGUUGGGGUCGUUAGCCAGUUCAUACAUAGUCCGAGGAAGCCACAUUUGGAAGUCGUUCGACGUAUUCUGAGAUAUGUUCGAAGUACUAAUGACUUUGGUAUUCUUUAUAAAGCCAAAGUUAAACCAGAGUUGGUUGGAUUUACAGAUGCAGAUUGGGCUGGAGAUCCAUCUACAAGAAGGUCCACCACUGGAUAUACCUUCAACUUAGGUUCAGGAACAGUUUCUUGGUGCAGUAAGAAACAACCAACGGUUGCUUUGUCAUCCACAGAAGCAGAGUAUCGAGCAGCAACAAUGGCGGCUCAAGAAUGUUCCUGGCUCAUAGAAGUACUUAGAGAUGUUGGUGUGGAUACUAACUACUCGGUUGAGCUCUACUGCGAUAAUCAAAGUGCUAUACGACUCGCGUCAAAUCCAGUGUUCCAUGCUAGAACGAAGCACAUUGAAGUACAUCAUCAUUAUAUCUGUGAGAAGGUGUUGAGUGGAGAGAUUGACUUGAUCCCAAUCAACACUGAAGAACAAGUGGCAGAUAUCUUCACCAAGAGCUUGCCCAUUUUGAAGCAAAACAAAUUUAGAGAUCAACUUGGAGUAUGUAGUCGAAUGUCGGCAUUGAGAGGGGAUGUUGAAAAUCAAUGCCUUCAUAGGCGGUGAAGAAGACUCCAGAAUAUACAAGUAACUCUAGAGAUUUUUAAUUAAGUAGGUGAUUAGAAUGUCCUAGAAUUGUGGAGGAGAUAUUUUCUAAUGUCGGUUAGAGAAAUCUGAAGACUUUGAGAUGUAAUUUAAGUCGGUUAUAACAUAGUAUAAAUAGGUAUGUAGAUGUAUUGGUUAGGACAUCAGAGAAGAAGUUGAGUCCUGAUCAAAUACUAAAGUGUUAGUAUAGUUGUUGUCCAAGAAGUGUUUGUCUAAACCCCUAAGUGAGUAAAGUGUGUUUGUAUAAAACUCUGAUCUUUUCUGAAAUCAAGCCCAUCUAUUUCUCUCAAGUUGACACUCCUAAAUUCCUACACCAAAUGCUGAUGAAAGUGACCAACAUCUGUUCUCUGUCUUUCCAUUGGCCUUCCACAUCUGCAUUGAUUUUGAAACUAGCUCAGAGUAAAUACAAGAGGAAUAAGGAAUAAUGUGAAGGAACACCUAUUUAAGAAAAAACUGAAUGGAAUUAGGAGGAUAGUAAUGAUUCCAUACAUAAAUUCAUACAAAUCGUGGCCGUGGAGGGAAAUUGAUUCUUAUGUUGUAAUUCUGAAAAGUCAUAUACUUACUGUAAUUGUUUUUGUAUUCAAUUACUGAAGUCUAGUUUGUUAUCAGUACAGUAGCAUAUACUACGAACCACCCCAGACACAAAUAACCAUCCUAACGAGUAAGGGAGUUUUGAAUGUAUUGUUUUGAAGGAAAUGCUGCGUGUGUGAGUCCUCCAAAGUUAAAUAUCACCUAUGUAAUGUGUGGUGGAUAGAUGUUUUGGACAGGGUUGGUCAAACAGAAAGCCAUAUCUCAUCAGCUCAUCUCAUCCUUCUCCUUUGGCAGGUCUCCUGUAAAUACGGAACUUGUGAUAGUUGGUGCAGUAUAUUUUUCUUUUUUCCUCUCCGGGGAGCUUUCACAGCUAGUGCUUUUAUGCCAAUUGCCAAAUGUGUAGCAGUAUACCAACAGCUGCUAAGUGCUAACACCGGAGGCUUCAAUCAGUUUUAAUGCUUUGUGCAUAUAUGUAUUCUUUAAUUUCAUCACACUUCCGAUGAUUCAAUAAAUAAACACUUCCAUUUCAAAUCAAAUCAAAUAUCAUGCUGUGACUACACAAAACAUGUUUUUAAAAUCGAAGAUAUCAUAAAAACAAAAAAAUCGAGAAACAGGAUAAUUAUCAAAACUUCCGGAUGCUCCCCAGUUGAUCACAAAAAGUCUACAAGAAGCGCAUAAAUUGUUGAUGUUGCUACGGAUUGAUGUUCAACAACGUAAUCCCAAUAAAAAAGCUUCCAAUUUAUUAUGAAAGAUCAUGGAAGUUUGCGGCACACAACCCAUGAACCAAUUGAAAAAAUGAAAAAGAGUUGAUAAAUAAAUAGACUUCACUGAAUCUACUAGGAGAAUCAAUGUCCAAAUCUACGAGUAUGGCUGGACCAACACACCAGCCUAUCCAACCAAUUACUUCACAUGGCUACUUCACACCAGCCACCUACUAACGUAAGCAAGAACAACACUGAUGAUUUAUCAAAAAAUAAAAAAAUUAUGAAUGAUAUAAGAUUUGAUAUAAAUAAAAUCAAGUAACAAAUUGGUUUUAUAUCACCUGUGGAUCCAAAGCAAAAGAUAAAACAAUACAACCAAACAAAUCGAAGAAAGGUGAUACUUUAAAGUUUAAAAUGGUAUCCAUAGCAUUUAUCUCAAAACAUGAAAGAGUUACAAAUGGAUAUUGAAGUUCGGCUUCCUCUACAAAAGCAAAGAUUGCUCCAAAGCAAAGGUAAAACAUUACAACCAAACAAAUUGAAGAAAGCU